rnacentral:rRNA from 1 species
ACUCAAAUGAAUUGACGGGGACCCGCACAAGCAGUGGAGUAUGUGGUUUAAUUCGAAGCAACGCGAAGAACCUUACCAGGUCUUGACAUCCCAUUGAAAAGUGCAGAGAUGUGCUCGCUCUUCGGAGCAAUGGAGACAGGUGGUGCAUGGUUGUCGUCAGCUCGUGUCGUGAGAUGUUGGGUUAAGUCCCGCAACGAGCGCAACCCUUGGAUUUAGUUGCCAGCAUUAAGUUGGGCACUCUAGAUCGACUGCCGGUGACAAACCGGAGGAAGGCGGGGAUGACGUCAAAUCAUCAUGCCCCUUAUGACCUGGGCUACACACGUACUACAAUGGCCGGUACAACGGGAAGCGAAGUCGCGAGAUGGAGCGAAUCUUUAGAAGCCGGUCUCAGUUCGGAUUGCAGGCUGCAACUCGCCUGCAUGAAGUCGGAAUUGCUAGUAAUCGCGGAUCAGCAUGCCGCGGUGAAUACGUUCCCGGGUCUUGUACACACCGCCCGU